UGAGUUUGAUUAUGGCUCAGGAUGAACGCACAAGACGUGCCUAACACAUGCAAAUCGAAUGAAAAUAAUUAAUUAUUGUUUUCAUGGUGAACGGGUGAGUAACACAUAAGAAUCAGCUUUUAGAUAAGGCAUAAAAGAGUAAUAUCUUGGUAAUUCCUUAUAUGCGCAGCAGUGCUUAAAAAGGGGAGUCCCGUCUAAAAACGAGCUUAUGCCUGAUUAGCUAGUUGGCGAGUUAAAAGCUCACCAAGGCGAAGAUCAGUAGCUGGCCUGAGAGGGCGGCCAGCCACAUUGGGACUGAGACACGGCCCAAACUCCUACGGGAGGCAGCAGUGGGGAAUCUUCUGCAAUGGGCGCAAGCCUGACAGAGCGGCGUCGUGUGAAGGAAGAAGGCCUGAAAUAGGUUGUAAACUUCUUUUACUGAGUAAUGAAUAAUGACAACGCAGUAAAAAAGUAUCGGCUAACUCCGUGCCAGCAGCCGCGGUAAUACGGGGGAUGCAAGCGUUAUCCGGAAUAACUGGGCGUAAAGCGUCUGUAGGUGGUUUAGUGUGUUCUUAGUNNNAUUCUGAAGCCUAACUUCAUGAAAAGUAAGAAAACUAUUAGACUUGAGUACGAUAGGGGUAAGAGGAAUUCUUCGAGAAGUAGUGAAAUGCGAAGAUACGAAGGAGAAGAUCAUAAGCG
rnacentral:rRNA from 1 species